UACGGAGGAUGCGAGCGUUAUCCGGAUUUAUUGGGUUUAAAGGGUGCGUAGGCGGGCUGUUAAGUCAGCGGUAAAAGCCCGGGGCUCAACCCCGGCGAGCCGUUGAAACUGGCUGUCUUGAGAUGUCGAGAGGUAUGCGGAAUGCGCAGUGUAGCGGUGAAGUGCGUAGAGAUUAGGAAGAACACCAGUGGCGGAGGCGAUUCUCUGGACUGUAACUGACGCUGAGGCUCGAAAGCGUGGGGAGCAAACAGG
rnacentral:rRNA from 1 species